rnacentral:rRNA from 1 species
GAUGAACGCUGGCGGCGUGCCUAAUACAUGCAAGUCGAGCGAACAGACGAGGAGCUUGCUCCUCUGACGUUAGCGGCGGACGGGUGAGUAACACGUGGAUAACCUACCUAUAAGACUGGGAUAACUUCGGGAAACCGGAGCUAGUACCGGAUAAUAUAUUGAACCGCAUGGUUCAAUAAUGAAAGACGGUUUUGCUGUCACUUAUAGAUGGAUCCGCGCCGCAUUAGCUAGUUGGUAAGGUAACGGCUUACCAAGGCAACGAUGCGUAGCCGACCUGAGAGGGUGAUCGGCCACACUGGAACUGAGACACGGUCCAGACUCCUACGGGAGGCAGCAGUAGGGAAUCUUCCGCAAUGGGCGAAAGCUUGACGGAGCAACGCCGCGUGAGUGAUGAAGGUCUUCGGAUCGUAAAACUCUGUUAUUAGGGAAGAACAAAUGUGUAAGUAACUAUGCACGUCUUGACGGUACCUAAUCAGAAAGCCACGGCUAACUACGUG